GAUGAACGCUGGCGGUAUGCUUAACACAUGCAAGUCGAACGGUCACUUCGGUGAUAGUGGCGGACGGGUGAGUAACGCGUGAGAAUCUGUCUUCAGGUCGGGGACAACAGUUAGAAAUGACUGCUAAUACCGGAUGUGCCUUUGGGUGAAAGAUUUAUUGCCUGAAAAAGAGCUCGCGUCAGAUUAGCCAGUAGGUGGUGUAAGAGACUACCUAGGCUCCGAUCUGUAGCUGGUCUGAGAGGACGAUCAGCCACACUGGAACUGAGACACGGUCCAGACUCCUACGGGAGGCAGCAGUGGGGAAUUUUCCGCAAUGGGCGAAAGCCUGACGGAGCAAUACCGCGUGAGGGACGAAGGCUUUUGGGUCGUAAACCUCUUUUCUCAAGGAAGAUGAUGACGGUACUUGAGGAAUAAGCAUCGGCUAACUCUGUG
rnacentral:rRNA from 1 species